UGUCCUACGGGGGGCAGCAGUGGGGAAUAUUGGGCAAUGGGCGCAAGCCUGACCCAGCAACGCCGCGUGAAGGAAGAAGACUUUCGGGUUGUAAACUUCUUUUCUCAGGGACGAAGAAAGUGACGGUACCUGAGGAAUAAGCCACGGCUAACUACGUGCCAGCAGCCGCGGUAAUACGUAGGUGGCAAGCGUUAUCCGGAUUUACUGGGAGUAAAGGGCGUGUAGGCGGGAAAGCAAGUCAGAUGUGAAAACAAUGGGCUCAACCAGUGGCCGGCAUUUGAAACUGGUUUU
rnacentral:rRNA from 1 species